rnacentral:rRNA from 1 species
UGGGGAAUAUUGCGCAAUGGGGGGAACCCUGACGCAGCCAUGCCGCGUGAAUGAAGAAGGCCUUAGGGUUGUAAAGUUCUUUCGGUAUUGAGGGAGGUUGAUGUGUUAAUAGCACAUCAAAUUGACGUUAAAUACAGAAGAAGCACCGGCUAACUCCGUGCCAGCAGCCGCGGUAAUACGGAGGGUGCGAGCGUUAAUCGGAAUAACUGGGCGUAAAGGGCACGCAGGCGGUUAUUUAAGUGAGGUGUGAAAGCCCCGGGCUUAACCUGGGAAUUGCAUUUCAGACUGGGUAACUAGAGUACUUUAGGGAGGGGUAGAAUUCCACGUGUAGCGGUGAAAUGCGUAGAGAUGUGGAGGAAUACCGAAGGCGAAGGCAGCCCCUUGGGAAUGUACUGACGCUCAUGUGCGAAAGCGUGGGGAGCAAACAGGAUUAGAUACCCUGGUAGUCCACGCUGUAAACGCUGUCGAUUUGGGGGUUGGGGUUUAACUCUGGCGCCCGUAGCUAACGUGAUAAAUCGACCGUCUGGGGAGUACGGCCGCAAGGUUA